ACGGGAGGCAGCAGUGGGGUAUAUUGCACAAUGGGGGAAACCCUGAUGCAGCGACGCCGCGUGAGUGAAGAAGUAUUUCGGUAUGUAAAGCUCUAUCAGCAGGAAAGGUAACGACGGUACCUGACUAAGAAGCACCGGCUAAAUACGUGCCAGCAGCCGCGGUAAUACGUAUGGUGCAAGCGUUAUCCGGAUUUACUGGGUGUAAAGGGAGCGCAGACGGCAUGGCAAGCCAGAUGUGAAAGGUGGGGGCUCAACCCCCAAGCUGCAUUUGGAACUGUCAAGCUAGAGUAUCGGAGAGGUAAGUGGAAUUCCUAGUGUAGCGGUGAAAUGCGUAGAUAUUAGGAGGAACACCGGUGGCGAAGGCGGCUUUCUGGACAGUAACUGACGCUGAGGCGCGAAAGCGUGGGGAGCAAACAGGAUUAGAUACCCUGGUA
rnacentral:rRNA from 1 species